CCGGAGGGAUGCUGGCCAACAACCCCCCAACUUUUAAGGUUGACCUCGGAUCAGGUAGGGAUACCCGCUGAACUUAAGCAUAUCAAUAAGCGGAGGAAAAGAAACCAACAGGGAUUACCUCAGUAACGGCGAGUGAAGCGGUAACAGCUCAAAUUUGAAAUCUGGCCCUUUCAGGGUCCGAGUUGUAAUUUGUAGAAGAUGCUUCGGGUGUGGCUCCGGUCUAAGUUCCUUGGAACAGGACGUCAUAGAGGGUGAGAAUCCCGUAUGUGACUGGCUGCCUUCGCCCAUGUGAAGCUCUUUCGACGAGUCGAGUUGUUUGGGAAUGCAGCUCUAAAUGGGUGGUAUAUUUCAUCUAAAGCUAAAUAUUGGCCAGAGACCGAUAGCGCACAAGUAGAGUGAUCGAAAGAUGAAAAGCACUUUGGAAAGAGAGUUAAACAGUACGUGAAAUUGUUGAAAGGGAAGCGCUUGCAACCAGACUUGCACGCCGUCGAUCAUCCUGGGUUCUCCCUGGUGCACUCGGCGGCGUUCAGGCCAGCAUCGGUUUCGGUGGUUGGAUAAAGGCCUUGGGAAUGUGGCUCCUCUCGGGGAGUGUUAUAGCCCUCGGUGCAAUGCAGCCUACCGGGACCGAGGACCGCGCUCGGCUA
rnacentral:rRNA from 1 species